rnacentral:rRNA from 1 species
UACGGAGGAUGCAAGCGUUAUCCGGAAUGAUUGGGCGUAAAGCGUCCGCAGGUGGCAAUGUAAGUCUGCUGUCAAAGCGUCUGGCUCAACCAGAUAAAGGCAGUGGAAACUACAUAGCUAGAGUGUGGUAGGGGUAGAGGGAAUUCCCGGUGUAGCGGUGAAAUGCGUAGAUAUCGGGAAGAACACCAGUGGCGAAGGCGCUCUACUGGGCCACAACUGACGCUGAGGGACGAAAGCUAGGGGAGCGAAAGGG